rnacentral:rRNA from 1 species
UGGGGAAUCUUGCGCAAUGGGCGAAAGCCUGACGCAGCCAUGCCGCGUGAAUGAUGAAGGUCUUAGGAUUGUAAAAUUCUUUCACCGGGGACGAUAAUGACGGUACCCGGAGAAGAAGCCCCGGCUAACUUCGUGCCAGCAGCCGCGGUAAUACGAAGGGGGCUAGCGUUGUUCGGAAUUACUGGGCGUAAAGCGCACGUAGGCGGGCUGAUUAGUUGGUGGUGAAAUCCCAGAGCUCAACUCUGGAACUGCCAUCAAUACUGUCAGCCUGGAGCAUAGUAGAGGUUAGUGGAAUUCCAAGUGUAGAGGUGAAAUUCGUAGAUAUUUGGAGGAACACCAGUGGCGAAGGCGACUGACUGGGCUAUUGCUGACGCUGAGGUGCGAAAGCGUGGGGAGCAAACA